CAGUAGCCACGGUAACACGAAGGGGGCUAGCGUUGUUCGGAAUUACUGGGCGUAAAGCGCACGCAGGCGGCUCGAUAAAUUAGAUGUGAAAGCCCUGGGCUCAACCUAGGAAUUGCAUUUGAUACUGUUUGGCUUGAGUUCGGGAGAGGUGAGUGGAAUUCCCAGUGUAGAGGUGAAAUUCGUAGAUAUCGGAAGGAACACCUGUGGCGAAAGCGGCUCACUGGACAAUAACUGACGCUGAUGCACGAAAGCUAGGGGAGCAAACAGGAUUAGAUACCCGUGUAGUCCCUGUUUCUUAUAC
rnacentral:rRNA from 1 species